AGAGUUUGAUCAUGGCUCAGGGCUAACGCUGGCGGCGUGUCUUAGCCAUGCAAGUCGAGCGGGCCUGUGGGUUUACCUACAGGUCAGCGGCGGACGGCGGAGUAACACGUAGCUAACCUACCCCCUGGACGGGGAUAACCACUCGAAAGGGUGGCUAAUACCCGAUGGAGUCCCUAUCUGAGAUGGUAGGGAUGAAAGGUGGGCCUCUGCGGAAGCAAGCUCAUGCCGGGGGAGGGGGCUGCGGCCUAUCAGGUAGUUGGUGGGGUAAUGGCCCACCAAGCCUAUGACGGGUAGCCGGCCUGAGAGGGUGACCGGCCCGAGGGGCACUGAGACACGGGCCCCACUCCUACGGGAGGCAGCAGGCUAGAAAAUUGGGCAAUGGGGGAAACCCUGACCCAGUGACGCCGCGUGCAGGAAGAAGCCCUUCGGGGUGUAAACUGCUGUCGUGCGGGGCGAAGGGUCCAUAGGCGAAUAGCUUAUGGGCUUGACGGUACCGCAGGAGGAAGCCCAGGCUAACCUCGUGCCAGCAGCCGCGGUAAUACGGGGUGGGCGAGCGUUGCCCGGAAUUACUGGGUUUAAAGGGGGUGUAGGCGGUCCGGAGAGUCAGGUGUGUAAUCCAACCGCUCAACGGUUGGGCUGCACCUGAUACUUCCGGGCUAGAGGGCGGUAGAGGAGAGCGGAACUCCCGGUGUAGCGGUGAAAUGCGUAGAUAUCGGGAGGAACGCCGGUGGCGAAGGCGGCUCUCUGGGCCGUUCCUGACGCUGAGGCCCGAAAGCUGGGGGAGCGAAAGGGAUUAGAUACCCCUGUAGUCCCAGCCGUAAACGAUGGGCACUAGGUGUUCCUCCGAAGGGGGGAGUGCCGACGGGAAACCAUUAAGUGCCCCACCUGGGGAGUACGCCCGCAAGGGUGAAACUCAAAGGAAUUGACGG
rnacentral:rRNA from 1 species